rnacentral:rRNA from 1 species
UACGGAGGGUGCAAGCGUUAUCCGGAUUCACUGGGUUUAAAGGGUGCGUAGGUGGGUCUGUAAGUCCGUGGUGAAAUCUCCAAGCUUAACUUGGAAACUGCCAUGGAUACUAUAGGUCUUGAAUACCGUGGAGGUGAGCGGAAUAUGUCAUGUAGCGGUGAAAUGCUUAGAUAUGACAUAGAACACCAAUUGCGAAGGCAGCUCACUACACGAAUAUUGACACUGAGGCACGAAAGCAUGGGGAUCAAACAGG